CAGAAGUUUCCAAGGGACACGUCAACGAUGCACACCAACUUGACCGUUUAGGCAUCACGUUCAGCUUUCAAUUCAAGCGACAGGAAGAAGAAAAACCAUUUUCUCUUCGCUUUCGCUGGCUCCAUCGAUUUCUAGCCAGGGUUUAAAAUUGAUGGCGGAGAUCAGCGACGGAGAUCACGAUGCGGUGGAGCUGAUCGUGUGCGACGCUUCAGCAUCAGAACUGGUUCCCGAUGAAAUCAGUGGCGAUGGUGCCGUCUUGGCCUCAGAGGAGAUAACUCCUCUUUUGAAGCCUAAGAUCAACAUCUUCUCCGUGUCUCACUCUCGCAGAAAACCUAGAGAGCAAGGGACAAAAAUACCUGAUAUAGAGACAUUUCCGGUAACACAGUUUGUUUUGUGGAUAUGGGGUGGAUCGAGAUACUCUGGUCUAUUAUGUGUGGCCAUAUCAUCAACCAUCUACUUUGUCAUGGAAGUUCUUUCUGAUUUUUUCUCUGCUCAGUCAAUUCCGUUGUUUGAGACUGCAUUUGCAAGAUGUACAAUAACCCUGAUAUUGUCAUAUCUGUGGUUGAGAGGAAACGGACAGCCAAUAUUUGGACCAGCACAUGCUAGGAAAUUUCUCUUUUCAAGAGCCUUAACUGGAUGCCUCUCAUUGUUGAGUUUUAUUUAUUGCAUUCGAAGGUUACCUUUGUCCCAGGCUAUUGUAUUAAGCUUCACAACUCCAAUUAUGGCUUCAAUUGUGGCACGAAUAAUUUUGCAUGAGAAGUUGAAAAUUGUUGAUGUUGGAGGUCUUGCGUGCAGUUUCUUUGGCGUGCUCUUCAUUUUUAGACAGAUACUUACUACACAAGGAGCAUUACUUAGAGUUGGGGAAACAAAUUAUAUAGCCAUCAUGGGCAGGAACCAUGUAUUAACAGUGCUGGUUGCUUUGUUCUCAUCAAUAACUGGUGGAAUCAGCUACUGCCUUGUAAAGGCAGGUGCAAAGGCAUCUGAUCAACCUUUGGCCACUGUUUUUUCAUUUGGCAUACUGGCUACCCCUGCCACAGGAAUGUGUGCAUUUGCCUUUGAGGAAUUCGUGCUCCCAAAUUUUUACACUUUUUUUCUUAUGCUUAUACUUGGUCUUCUGUCCUUCUCUGCAGAGGUGUUUUUUGCCCGCGGACUUCAGCUUGAGAAGACCAGCAAAGCUGCAAAUGUCCUGUACAUGGAGGUUGCCUUAUCACAGUUAUGGGGGAUUGGUUCAUGGAGGAUAACUCCAUCUUUUGGUGGAUUGGUUGGAUGUUUGCUUAUCUUAAUUUCAGUGUGUUGUACCAUAUAUAUUGGACCUGAAAAAGAGAUGGAGUGAAAGAUUGAACAUUUCUGUCUUCUGGAAGGGAAAAAUGCUGCUGGUUUCCCCUUUCCAGCAAGAAUGUAAACCAUUUAAAGGAGGCAAGACUCCUUUGUGAGCAGAAACUCGCAUUCAUAACACCCUUCAGAGGAUUAUAUCUUUACUGCAAUCCGAUGCGGUUGGGGUGGCUGUCGCCGUAGGAGUCGAAGUCGAUCAGGAAAAAUAAAAAAGAAUAACAAUAAUAUUAAUGAGGCCAAACAGUACAAAUCUCCGAAUUAGUCUCUAAACCCUUAAUUUUGGGUUGGAUCUCCCUGCAACAAUUUUCCUUUUGAAAUGAGGUGUUUCUAUUAGGUUUCCGUCAAAUUUGAAGGAUACGACUAAAAAAGUGCCAAAACUUGUGGAUGUUCGGUUUAUCCUUCCGUAACUUAUUUCUUUCCUUGAAAAAAAUGUUUCUCAUAAUAUUUAAAAGGGAAUAAAUGAAUUUUGGAGGGAAAAAAACGAAAACCUAAUUGAUGAAUCCAAUUUCAAAUAAAAAAAAUAGAUAGAAAGAGCUUCGGCAUAUUUAUUUACUUUUCGAAAAAAAGAGAUUGGAAAAAAAGCCCCCCUGGUACCCUUUCGAGCGACGAGAGAGGUGGGGGCAGAUUCUUAUCUUGUGAGGUUCGAAAAUGAAAUAACACGUGUACAAGAAUAACGUUAUUUUUUUUAUUAAUAAAUAAAGUUUUUGUUAA